rnacentral:rRNA from 1 species
AUGUCAGAGUAUCAUUGGAGGGCAGUCUGGUGCCAGCAGCCGCGGUAAUUCCAGCUCCAAUAGCGUAUAUUAAAAUUGUUGCAGUUAAAAAGCUCGUAGUUGAAUUUCUGCUGCAUUGCUUGUGUCCCUCUGGGGUCUGUGCAUGUGGCUUUUUUCGGACGGAGUUUCUUUGUCUGAAUGUUUACUUUGAGAAAAUUAGAGUGCUCAAAGCAGGCUUUCGCCUUGAAUAGUUUAGCAUGGAAUAAUAAAGUAGGACUUUGGUUCUAUUUUGUUGGUUUUAGGUACCAAAGUAAUGGUUAAUAGGAACAGUUGGGGGCAUUCGUAUUUAACUGUCAGAGGUGAAAUUCUUAGAUUUGUUAAAGACGAACUACUGCGAAAGCAUUUGCCAAGGAUGUUUUCAUUAAUCAAGAACGAAAGUUAGGGGAUCGAAGACGAUCAGAUACCGUCGUAGUCCUAACCAUAAACUAUGCCGACUAGAGAUUGGAGGUCGUCAGUUUUUACGACUCCUUCAGCACCUUGAGAGAAACAAAGUCUUUUUGGA